UGAGAUUAUAAUGACGAUAAUAAGCUCACUCUUCUGAUGUUGAAGUUGUGGACAACCGCUGGCAGAAUCGAACCUAAUUUAAUACUUGCUACUACUGAGUGA